UAAUAAUUUUAGUUACCUUGGCAACGCAAGACGACCUAAUGAAUUUAUGUUGAACCUGUGAACUAUAUUUCCUACUUAUUAUUUCUUUGAUUUUAACAGAGAGACAAUGUCAGGAACCAAAGGGAGUAUCUGGUUUGUUUACUUGCUGAUAAUCAUAUAAGGUUGACUCCCAGGCCAGAGUUUCUGAAUAAGCUCGACGAUAGAGCCGUUGAUGCCGUCAAGACAAAGUUCUUUAAGAACUACAAGAACUGGUGCAAAUUUUUAGGACGUAAACAUAGUUUAAGGUACCAGGCAACAUUUUAUUUUCACAAAUGGCUUGAAUGAGACACUUUUUUGAAUGAUGUUUAUACUCUUAAUAAAAAUUCACUCAUUUAAUUUAUGCGAAGGCUUUCUCAAGGUGCUGAAGAUAUACAACAGGAGAAGAUACUGUAUAUGGGUUUUUAAAUCCUUUUUAGCUGAUAUGAUUAGUCAAACACAAGAAUUCAUCAAUAUUUACCUGCUUUUUAUUCUCAGAUGGCUUAUGAACUCCAUGGUCUUCUGGCUGGAAAUGUCAGCAUCGUUACUGGAGAAAAUAUCAAGCCUUCUUACGGUGGAGAUGAUGAGGCCUUUCUGCUGAAAAGCAAGUAAGAAUGCCACUGGCAAGGCCGCUCACUCAGAUUGGUCCAACUAUGAUGAUCUGUAUGAAUAUUUUUGGUCUCCAGAUUGCUUCUAUCUCGGCUGGCCAAUGCGUGAUGAUGGAGAUCUCUCUCCAGUAUCUUCAUUACAGCAGCUUUUCUACGCUUCCUCCAGAGUAUCUUGGAUAUUAUCUUAAACUUCCCGGGUUUCCACAGAUGGAAAUUUACUGAAAUUUUGAGAAAUAUUCUCAAGAUCGCUGUAAGUCUCGCUUGGUGUGUAGUCUUACCGCUUUGCGAUGCCCAGUCCAAUUCUUCUGCUCCUGGGAUGCUGAAGCAAUGGAUAUCAUUCCUUCCACGAGACGUUAAAGGGGUUCCCCCGCUCCAUAUCUUGGCUGUCGCUCUUUACUUGCUCCCAAAUGUACCAUGUUCAUUUUCCCUAUGCUUCGACGCUGGAUUGAGAAUUCAGACUGGCAUAUAAUUAGAUUGCAUGUGUGGUGGUCACAGGUAUGAUGCUGGAUUUAUAAUUCCUUUCUUUUCAUCCUGGAUGAAAAUUAUGAUUCUGUUUAGUCAGCAAAUCCCUUUAGGCAUGCUAGAAGAGCUCUGAACUCUGUUAUGUCUUA